rnacentral:snRNA from 13 species
AUACAUGUGGAAGAGAUAGAAAGAUUAGCAACAGCCACUAAAAAUUUUUGAUCAGGAGGUUCAGAUGUGUUUUAUGAGCUGUUAGCACCCAUCCCCUGCAGUCCAGGUGUGCUGACCCCUGAGAUUUUCCCAAAUGUGGGAAACUCAGCUGCAUAAUUUGUGGUAGUGGGGAACUGCAUUUGCACUCUCCUC